GACGAACGCUGGCGGCGUGCUUAACACAUGCAAGUCGAACGGAAACGCCGUGCGUUUGUGCGCUGCUCGGGGGGCGAACGGGGGAGUAACACGUGAGUAACCUGCCCUUCACUUUCGGAUAACGUCAGGAAGCUGGAGCUAAUACCGUAUAGGAUCUCCCGCUGCAGGGUGGGGGGUGGAUAGUUUCGGCGGUUGGGGAUGGACUCGCGGCUUAUGGGCUUGUUGGUGGGCUAGUGGCUUACCAAGGCUUUGACGGGUAGCCGGCCUGAGAGGGGGACCGGGCACAUUAGGCCUGAGAUACGGCGCAGACUGGUACGGGAGGCAGGAGUGGGGAAUAUUAUACAGUGGGAGGGAGCCUGAUGCGGCAACGCCGCGUGUGGGAAGACGGCCUUCGGGUAGUGAACCGCUUUCGCUUGAGACGAAGCGUGAGUGACGGUACCGGGUAAAGAAGCACCGGCUAACUACGUG
rnacentral:rRNA from 1 species